UUCUUCCUUGAGAAGCUACUAAUCUCUCUAUCUCCUCACCGUUACUUCUUUUCUAAAACCCUAGAGAGCUUUCUUCUCCAUUUUCCUUCAUCUCCGUUCUCCAUUCUGGUUCGCUAUUUUCAUUAGUGAAGCUGAUUUCUAAUUAGGGUUUCUAGAUCUCAUCACAAAUUCCGCCCCCAUCUGCUUUCUCUCUCUUUUGCCGAUUCAAGAAGAUGAAGGCAAUGGCGAUUCAAGUCGAUUGGAUCAUGUGGUACCGGCGCUGAUAUGUAUUGUUCUCAUUCAAUCGUAUUUCGUUCAACGACAUCAGAAGCAUCAAUUAAUCGAAUUUCAUUCAAUCAGUACCGUGUCUCAUUCAAUCUCCAUCAUUCAGUUUGUAAUUAUUACGAUUUUGAAGUGUUUGUGAUGAAAUCCUUUUUCUCUGAUCGAAUCAUCUACAAUCCAUUCUUAUAAUCAUCAGGUAUUUACUUUUCUAUCUUUCAUAUUUCUAUUAAUCAUAGGUAUUUGAUUGUUGGUGUUCUUUCGGGUGUUGCAUAUGAGGGACUUUUGGCCGAAGGGCUCUUCUGGAUACCAUCUUUUGCAAGUCCUACAACGAUUGCUGGUUACUAGAGUGGAUUGCGAUAGAUUGAUGUUCUAACCUGAUUUUGUAUUCAUAUACGAUUUGUAACAAACAUAGCUUAAUAGAGAAGUAGGAAGACAAUGAAAUCAGUUUAAGGCUUGCUCUUGGCGUUACAAACCAACCCGUUGAGACGUUUUGUGAUGGAGAUGCAGGUGCAAAUGCAAACUCGAGGUCAACUGUAAAACAUUUGUAGAGAAUCUCCAAAGAGCAUAAGUGAAAGCAUAACUGUAGUCGUACGAGGGGAAAAGUCACACGUAUGAGUUUGUUCAGGUGAAGCUUCUAAAUGACGAGCUCUGGAUUGGUCCAUAAGAUUUUUCAUUAGCUUUAGGAUCUGCUCGAGGUUUGAUUUGUAUUUUCGCAAGAAUCCGUUUGGUGGUGAGUACACUGUUUUUGCUGGACUUGAAGAGUGCGUAAGGUUCAUCGCAAAUUUUAAAUACUUAAAGGAAGAAAUUACGUUUCUUCGAGAGACUUUAUCUCCUACAUGUGAGGAUGGCUUCUUUGAUUAUCUUCAAGGGAUUGAUUUUUCGGAUGUUGAAGUAUACGCUAUUCUCUAAGGGUCGGUUGUUUUUCCCAAAGUACCGUUGAUGAGAGUUGAGGGCUCUGUGGCUGUGGUUUAGUUACUGGAAACGCCUUUUGUAGAUCUUAUUAAUUAUGCAUCACUGGUGACUACAAAUGCAGCAAGGCAUCGUUUUGUUGCUAGAAAUGCAAAACUUCUUCUUGAAUUUGGGCUACGGUGGGCACAGGGCCCAGAUGGUGGCAUAAGUGCAUCAAGGUAUUGCUACAUGGGAGGAUUUGCUGCAACAAGGUCAUGUUCAGAACUUCUCAGCAUCAGUUCGAGAUGUUACACGAAUCAGAAAGAAACCAUGGGGACCUGAUGAGAUUAUAGAAAAAUCUCUCAACACUCAGAACUGCUCUCGAAUAUGUGAGGAUUUCAUUAGUGUUGUGCAGACAUGGUUAAGCAAACUAAAGGUUUGCUUAUGUUGUAUAUAGACCAAGUAUAUUAGACCUAUCGUAGUGGGGCGCGAAGAUGGUGAUUUUUAAGGCAUGGCGUCCCAUAGCGCCCGGCAACACCAAUACUGCCAGCGCAAUGGGGGUGAUUUUGGAUGUGGGCGGUAUGUACAUAGCGGCGUGAAGGAGGAGAGGGGUGUGGAAUGUUGCUGGCAUUUAUGGAGGAGAGGGGUGUUAAAUGAAAAUAAUUAAUAGAAAAAGGUUGGAAACAAAAGUUUUCUAGCUGAGAGGGGUUAAUAUUUCAAGCGAUGUUGAAAGUGUGGUGGUGGAUCAUGAAGAAAAGCGAAGACGGGGAUAUUGGUGGCAUAUGAUGUCUCAACUCAUCCGUGUUAAGGGAGUUGUGGAUCCUAUAAAAGAGAAGCAACUGUUGUUGUUGAAGGACUUUUCAAAAUGGGCGUCCGAUCUAUCAUGGUUACCAGAGAUAAUUCGCUUCUUGCUAGAGCUGUUCCAUAAGAGGCUGGCAUUCAAGACGUAAGGGUAGAGGUUUUGCCAGCCGGAAAAGUUGACGUCAUUCAUUAAUUACAAAAAUAUAGAAGCAUAGUGACUAUUGUUUGUGAUGGCACGACGACUCCCCAACCUUGGCUGCAACAGACGUUGGCAUGACAAUUGGGGCUGGAACAGGCAUUGCAAUGGAGGCUGAUGACUAUGUCUUAAUGAAAAGCAACUUUUAGAAGUGACAAUUUUAUGAUUCGUGUAACAAUGAAGUGAAAUCAAGAUACAUGGUCUUAUCAAAUUUUAGAGAAUGUGCUUCUCUUGAUGUUAAAACGGGUCCUGCAGGAAGGGUCGAGUCGGUCACAGGAAGAAGGUGACCCGUUAAGAGGAAGUGAGAGUGAUAUGGAAACAGAUCCUUUGUGUGUUGGAAACAAAUGGAAUAACUCAACUUGUGAAGAUGAAACAAAAGUGAAGGUGAAGAUGGCUUCUGGUGGUCAAGAUUUGAUAUAGCCUCUUUCUCUGUCGCCACUCUCAAAACCCUAGCGCCGCACCAUAUUCUUCAAAAAUGAGGGUGGGAUGCGACAUAGAUGAUGAGAAUCCGAGUCUAGAUUCGACUUGCUAGAAUAUUUUGUGCAGUUGCGUGUUUCAAAAACGAAGAUGAAGGAGCGGAGGUGAAAGAGAACACAAACAAGAUUGAGCCGUCUUUUUUGCUGAAUUUGGUAUCACAAGUGAUGCAGCAUUGAAGUUCGGUACGUUCGAGUUGGGUCGCGUCGGGUCAUUUGUUUAUUAAAUGUAUCCCGUGUGGGAAUUGAGUUUGGUUAGGAUGAUAAGUAGUGGAGUUCUGUUUUUCUUUAAUUUCUUGAUCAUUCAAAUGAAGCUGGUUAAAUUUUUCGCAUUUUUAUGUCAUUGAAUGACACUAUUUACUUAAGUUGUUAUUGUUAACAUCUAUGAAGACAUUUUUUAAUUUA